rnacentral:tRNA from 1 species
GGGCCGUUAGCUCAGUUGGUUAGAGCGCUUGCUCGACACGCAAGAGGUCACAAGUUCGAAUCUUGUACGGCCCA